rnacentral:rRNA from 1 species
GCAGCGANNUGCGAUACCUAGUGUGAAUUGCAGAAUUCCGCGAAUCAUCGAGUUUUUGAACGCAUAUUGCGCCCGAGGCUCGCGCCAAGGGCACGUCUGUCUGAGCGUCA